GAGUGCGAUUUCAGCGGUGGUCGAGGGGCGCUUCCUGAGCAAUCUCUGCCGCCAGAUGGAUUUCGUUACUUUGCAAGUUGAAACCAUUGCUUCUAGUUCAAGUGAUGAUUAACAAAAGUCCUGAAACACUGUUACUUCACUCGAAGAAGUACACAAGCAUGGCCGAACGAGGGUGGCAAACCAACAUCAUUUGGACUUUGGACCACCAACAGUUCUGCCGAUCAGUAGCAUCAUCAGAAGAAUCGUCCGAAUCAGUUGAAGACCCAGGUACGGGUGAUCAAAGUGCCGAUGACGACCCACUCGACGAAAUUCCCUGUUGCAACGAAAAGCCGAUUACGCGCAACUUGUCAAACCAAAUAGAUAAACUUGCAAAUACAGAUCCUGCAAGUAAACCUACAGCUAUAACGAGAGAUCAACGAAAAUAUAAUCGUUAACGUUAUAGGUAAUGAAUCUACAAGAGCGCCAUUGACCCCAGCGAAAAAAGAUGGCUCGACCCCCAUUGCAGGUGUUAACAAGUGCCGGGUAGAUACACCAGCAUUGCAUCUGCUGAAGCAUUAAUUGAACCCAUUUUAAAAUCAAACA